rnacentral:pre_miRNA from 1 species
CUAAGCCGUCCUCCUGCGAACGCAGGAGCCCAGGAUCCCAAGCGCCGCGUCCCGUUACCCUGGCCUCCUGCGUUCGCAGGAGAACGCCGAUA